CUGCUCCCUCGCUCUGAACCAGACCUCAAACCCCAUCUCAGACAUGCAGGAUUGCUGGAGAUACCAGCAAAAGAUAAAUGCAGGGUACCAGGACUCUUGGAGAGAGAAAAAAGAGAAUGAAUUAAUGGAUUCAGCCAAUCUCGUGCCCAGAGGAAUCCAAGAGGUCCCUGCAAAUUCCACUGUGGGAGCUGUGAGACAGGAGUCACCUGAGGAGCCAAACCACUGCUGGGAGGGGGAGAAACACCUCAGUUAUGCCCUUUGGAUACAGUAAAAAUAACAAAACCAGUUCACUUUGGGUGUAUUAAUUUUGGCCUGAAUAAACCACCUUUACCCUCUGA